rnacentral:rRNA from 1 species
GAUAUGCCAAUGGGGGAACCUGAUGCAGCUAUACGCGUGUGUGAUGAAGGUCUUAGGAUUGUAAAACACUUUCAGCAAGGGAAAAAAUUAUAUAAAUAAUACUUAUAUUAACUGAUAUUACCUGCAAAAGAAGUACCGGCUAACUCCGUGCCAGCAGCCGCGGUAAUACGGAGGGUACAAGCGUUAAUCGGAAUUAUUGGGCGUAAAGAGUACGUAGGUGGUAUAUUAAGUCAGAUGUGAAAUACUUAAGCUUAACUUAAGAACUGCAUUUGAAACUAAUAAACUAGAGUUUUAUAGAGGGGAGUAGAAUUCCAAGUGUAGCGGUGAAAUGCGUAGAUAUUUGGAGGAAUACCAGAGGCGAAGGCGACUCCCUGGGUAAUAACUGACACUGAGGUACGAAAGCUUGGGGAGCAAACAGGAUUAGAUACCCUGGUAGUCCAUGCUGUAAACGAUGUCAAUUUGAAGAUUGUAAUAUUAUUAUUUUUUAUAAUUUUCGUAGCUAACACAUUAAAUUGACCGCCUGGGGAUUACGACCGCAAGGUUAAAACUCAAAUGAAUUGACGGGGACCCGCACAAGCGGUGGAGCAUGUGGUUUUAAUUCGAUUACAAAGCGCGAAAAAAACUUUACCUUAACUCCUUUGGAACAUUCC